GAUGAACGCUGGCGGCGUGCUUAACACAUGCAAGUCGAACGGGAAUUAUUUUAUUGAAACUUCGGUCGAUUUAAUUUAAUUCUAGUGGCGGACGGGUGAGUAACGCGUGGGUAACCUGCCUUAUACAGGGGGAUAACAGUCAGAAAUGGCUGCUAAUACCGCAUAAGCGCACAGAGCUGCAUGGCUCAGUGUGAAAAACUCCGGUGGUAUAAGAUGGACCCGCGUUGGAUUAGCUGGUUGGUGGGGUAACGGUCCACCAAGGCGACGAUCCAUAGCCGGCCUGAGAGGGUGAACGGCCACAUUGGGACUGAGACACGGCCCAGACUCCUACGGGAGGCAGCAGUGGGGAAUAUUGCACAAUGGGGGAAACCCUGAUGCAGCGACGCCGCGUGAAGGAAGAAGUAUCUCGGUAUGUAAACUUCUAUCAGCAGGGAAGAUAGUGACGGUACCUGACGAAGAAGCCCCGGCUAACUACGUG
rnacentral:rRNA from 1 species